rnacentral:rRNA from 1 species
CCUACGGGAGGCAGCAGUGGGGAAUUUUGGACAAUGGGCGCAAGCCUGAUCCAGCUAUUCCGCGUGUGGGAAGACGGCCUUCGGGUUGUAAACCACUUUUGUAGAGAACGAAAAGUCUGUUGAUAAUACCGAUAGAUGAUGACGGUACUCUAAGAAUAAGCACCGGCUAACUACGUGCCAGCAGCCGCGGUAAUACGGAGGGUGCGAGCGUUAAUCGGAAUUACUGGGCGGAAAGGGUAAGCAGGCGGUUUUGCAAGAUGGAUGUGAAAGCCCCGGGCUUAACCUGGGAAAGCAAUACAUGACUGCAAGACUAGAGUGCGUCAGAGGGGGGUGGAAUUCCAAGUGUAGCAGUGAAAUGCGUAGAUAUUUGGAAGAACACCGAUGGCGAAGGCAGCCCCCUGGGACGCAACUGACGCUCAUACACGAAAGCGUGGGGAGCAAACAGGAUUAGAUACCCGUGUAGUC